rnacentral:pre_miRNA from 2 species
ACAAAGAAGCGAUGUUGGGGCAGUUCAAUCUCAAGGCCGAGUUUUGUUUUCUUCCUCUCUAAAAUUCCGUCUCUUUGAUUGAGCCGCGCCAAUAUCACUUAACUUUCU